UACGAAGGGGGCUAGCGUUGCUCGGAAUCACUGGGCGUAAAGGGUGCGUAGGCGGGUCUUUUAAGUCAGAGGUGAAAUCCUGGAGCUCAACUCCAGAACUGCCUUUGAUACUGAGGGUCUUGAGUAUGACAGAGGUGAGUGGAACUGCGAGUGUAGAGGUGAAAUUCGUAGAUAUUCGCAAGAACACCAGUGGCGAAGGCGGCUCACUGGGUCAUUACUGACGCUGAGGCACGAAAGCGUGGGGAGCAAACAGG
rnacentral:rRNA from 1 species